CUGGCCCUUGAAUCAAGGCCAGCAGCUUCCUGAUGCUGUUGGUUUCAAGCAGGAGCCUAAAGAGAUUUCUUUCUAUGGUCUGUUGGCCAUUUCAGAACUUGGGCAGUGAAAUGGUCAAUUCAUUAGAAAGAAACAACU
ensembl:snoRNA small nucleolar RNA SNORA2/SNORA34 family